rnacentral:lncRNA from 1 species
CUGUCUUGUCAUUCUUCUAAAGAGCUUCCUAUGAUAUCACAGAGCACCACUUGUCCCCACUCCCCUGUUCCCAGCAGCUUUCCCCCGGCCCUAGCUUUCCUCAGUGGCCCUCUAAGACCCUGAGCCUCCAGCCACCCUGGGCUCCUCUACACGCACUACUUCUGUCACCAUCUUUGCCCUUGGGUCAGCUCCAUUACUCUUUAGCCUGGACAGUGUCCACUCCUUCUUCAGAGGCUGCUGUGGUUCCUUAAUCGCCUGAGGAGCUUCCAGGAAAGCUAGGGCCCCACCAGGGAGCCUGAGUUCCUGGAGAUCUUUUAUGUUCCUCUUAGCGGCCCUCCUUCCCUUUCCCAUGGGUUUCGAGAGCUCUGUCCAUGCCCUUCUGCCUCACCACACCCACACCGGGAGCUGGAGUUGGCUUCCCACCCAUCGAUGUGAAGCGUGAGACCGCCAGCCCAUUGUUCGUUCGCCCUUGGUGUCCCCUGUCAGAGCCCCGCCCCAGCUCACCUCUCUACAGCAAAGGGCGACAGCCUGUGUCCUCCCUGGAGGUUGUUCAGUCACCGAGCCUGUGUUCCUCCUCCAGAACAUUCCCCAGCUGCCCACCCAUUUCCCCUUCUCCAUGGCUGGGCACAUGUGGUUUGCUGCUGCAAACAGGGGCCUCUGGCUGCCUCUUGCAUCUAAUGAAAACUCAUCGGGGGCUCUGAGCCGCUCCCCCAUCUGUCUCUGAGCCAUUUCUUCCCAGCCCCCAGCCUGCUGUCUGCACAGCUGCUCACUGUCUUCCCUCCCUCCAGUCUCCAGAGCCUCCAACUUUCUGUGUGCUGGGUCCCUCCACCUUAGGGUGCCCCACUGUUCCCUCUGGGCAGUUGAGUCCAUGGGCACGGAACUCGCCUGCCUCUGCCUUUGGAGUGCCUGGGCCCAGGAGAUGUGUGCUUGAGGAUGUGCACUCCCCCUGAGCCUCACCCCCUUUGGGACCUUUUACUCUGCACGCAGCCCUGGAGACCUCUGCCCUCGGGUGACUGCGACAUCCAGAAAUUCCUCUUUGCCCCAGCCCUGGCAAGGACUAAUUGCUACCAUCAGGAAAGCGAGGGCCAGCCUGCGGAGGCCAUGCUACCAGUAUCGGGCACCCAGCUCCUGCUUCUGUACCCUGCUGUCCUCCCAGAGGCUCCCCCACCGUGGGGCUUCUGGGCCACACUCCAAGCAGUGCCCUCUCCUGCAUCACUUUGUCCUGGGCCCCUCUGCUACGCUCCUGAAUUUCCUAAGGGGCAGUUUCAAGUUCACAGGAGAACCGCAAGUGAGACAGGAAGUAGCUUUACCAAGCACCUAGCAAAUGCCAAGUGCCCUGCUAGGUGCCAUCAUAUGGACUGCACUGCCAUUCAGUUGUCACAGCGGCCCAUAAAGGGCUGCUAGAAUCCCUGUUUUGUGUUUCACUCAGCAAAACCCCAGCAGCUCAACCCAAGGAGGCUCCGUUCUCCUUUGGAUUUGCAUCCGCCGUGCCUGUGCGCAGGUUGGACAUUCAGACACCAGGCCACAGGGGCUCUGCCUUCACUAGCGGCCCUGCCUGGUGGCCAUGGGUGGUCACUCGUCACAGUGAGAGAAAACAGUGUGGGCUGACACCCAGACUUGGCGGAAUCGCUGGGGCUCUCCUCUGCCACCUGCAGUACUCCUGUGGCCCCAUGUGACUCACUGCAGGGGCACAGCAGAGUUGGGACAGCAGAUGCACCGUUGAGUGAGCAGCUGUGGCCCCACCAGGUUGUGGAAAUGUACCGCGGAGUAGCUACCCUGCUUUAGAUGAGCGAAUCGGCUUUUUUUGGCCCGCAGAGAACUCUACUGUGGGCUCACACCUUAGCAAUUUGCCUGGGCCUCCAUUUGGCCACUUCUGUGGGUCCCAUCCGUGAAUAUUCUAUGAACGCUUCUUUAGUGUACAGGGUGCUGAUGCUGAGAGGCCAACAGGAUGUUUACAGCCUCAGAGGGGAAGUCAGGCCCACUACAGUAAGCGUCACUUUAAUAAAAUGCAGAUUUUGAUCAAUGGAACAAGA